AUUCACAGCCAGUUAAACGUGUUAGAUCAAGGAAUUCCUCACUAAUAUGCCCUCUGGGAUCGAUGUAGCUGGUGUAGCUUACAUUCUUUGUUCAGUUGUUUCUUUCAGGAGGUAAGGUUGCAAUGAUAGAUGUUAUGUUUAAACAAGAAUGUGAAGGAUUCAUCACACAAUGAGUUUACUGGUGAUAGUGUGGUUGAGGUUGUUGUUGCAUCUGUGAAAGAAACCACAUCAACAAUGUGAAUAUCAUCAUUUUGGCCAC